rnacentral:rRNA from 1 species
GACGAACGCUGGCGGCGUGCUUAACACAUGCAAGUCGAACGGAAAGGCCCUGCUUUUGUGGGGUGCUCGAGUGGCGAACGGGUGAGUAACACGUGAGUAACCUGCCCUUGACUUUGGGAUAACUUCAGGAAACUGGGGCUAAUACCGGAUAGGAGCUCCUGCUGCAUGGUGGGGGUUGAAAAGUUUCGGCGGUUGGGGAUGGACUCGCGGCUUAUCAGCUUGUUGGUGGGGUAGUGGCUUACCAAGGCUUUGACGGGUAGCCGGCCUGAGAGGGUGACCGGGCAGAGGGGAGCGGGGGUGGGGGCGAGAGACGGAGGGGAGGCAGGGGGGGGGAGGAGGGAAAGGCGGGAGGGAGGCUGAGGCCGCAGGGCGGGGUGGGGGAUGCGGGGGUUGGGGUGGAGAACCGCUUGCGCCGGAGAGGGAGAGGGAGUGAGGGAAGUGGGAAAAGAAGCAACGGGAAAGGGCGCGCCGGCGGCCGGGGAAAUAAUCGGAGGAGCAUACGUGUGAAC